AAUGCCACUACACUGACAUUUACAGUCCAUUCAAACUAAUCAUAUUUAUAACUGUCUCAAUUAUUUACUUUUUAAUAUAGAUUCCUGACCAUAAAACAGAGUUUAUGUGGAAAACUGCUAAUGAAAUGGGGUUUGUGGCAUAAGGAGCCACUGAAGCCAAUAUUUUAAAGUGGCACUUGGAAAACAGAUUACUGGUUGCUCUUUGUUUUGCUAUCCGGGCACUCCUGUUCUGACCUCUUCUGGGUGUUCGAGGUGAACCAUUAAUGGGUAUUACAGCUGUUUCUGUAAAAACGGUAAAUUAGAUAAAGAUACCAGGUUGAAACCACACACAAGCUGUGGGAACUUGUGGGAUAUGAGGCUACAGAAAGGUCAUAAAUUAUCUUCUGAAGCCAGGUCAUAGUACAUGGAGACAAACUACAUCACUGUAUUUGAAAUCCCUAUCACUGAAGUUAAUUAAAAAUUAACUAUACUUGCUUAUACUCUUGAAGGUUGCUGUCAUUUGAAUCUGGAGACAUUCAGGCCCACGUGUUAAGUCUCAGUCCCCAGCUUGCAACUAUCGGCAGAGUCUAACCAGUCCAAGGGCUCCUACAGUGCAUCUCUUGAAGGAUAACAGGAUUCCAUCCUUUCCCUGCUCUCUUUUUCAACUCCAGUAGAGGGGGAACAGUUUUACUCCACUGUGUGCACCUGCCAUAAUGUGCUCCCUCACUACAGGCUCAAAGCAAAGGGGUCAAAUCACCUGUGGACUGGAAACUCCAAAACUGCGAUGGAAACUCCCAAAAUGUGAGCUAAAAAUAAGUCGAUCACACCUCAACAGCUGAUCAUAUCAGGUAUUGUCACAGUAAAGCAGAGCUGAGAGAAAAAUGCAGAGCCCAUUUCUGACUAAUGUUUUAUCAUCCUCUCAGUUUUAGGACUGCAUCGGACCUAUAAGACAUUCAGUAAGUCACUUGUGAAGAUAGAGAAGAGCACUGCCUUGUUUAGAAUACUUACUGUAUGGUUCUCUGAGUAGUGCAGGAGGUGAGAACUUAAUAAAAUAGUCAACUACACACAACAUUAACUGAAAGGAGAUUACCAGAUCAUCUUCCAUUUGUAAUACUUCUCCUAAAAACAAAAAAGGUCCACAGUUAAAUAUUUUAAAAUUAUAUUUAACUAUUAUUUACUUA